GAUGAACGCUGGCGGCGUGCCUAAUACAUGCAAGUCGAGCGAAUGGAUUGAGAGCUUGCUCUUAUGAAGUUAGCGGCGGACGGGUGUGUAACACGUGGGUAACCUGCCCAUAAGACUGGGAUAACUCCGGGAAACCGGGGCUAAUACCGGAUAACAUUUUGAACCGCAUGGUUCGAAAUUGAAAGGCGGCUUCGGCUGUCACUUAUGGAUGGACCCGCGUCGGAUUAGCUAGUUGGUGAGGUAACGGCUCACCAAGGCAACGAUGCGUAGCCGACCUGAGAGGGUGAUCGGCCACACUGGGACUGAGACACGGCCCAGACUCCUACGGGAGGCGGCAGUAGGGAAUCUUCCGCAAUGGACGAAAGUCUGACGGAGCAACGCCGCGUGAGUGAUGAAGGCUUUCGGGUCGUAAAACUCUGUUGUUAGGGAAGAACAAGUGCUAGUUGAAUAAGCUGGCACCUUGACGGUACCUAACCAGAAAGCCACGGCUAACUACGUGCCAGCCGCCGCAGUAA
rnacentral:rRNA from 1 species